rnacentral:rRNA from 1 species
GACGAACGCUGGCGGCGUGCUUAACACAUGCAAGUCGAACGGAAAGGCCUGCUUUCCCUUGUGGAUUGCGGGUACUCGAGUGGCGAACGGGUGAGUAACACGUGAGUGAUCUGCCCCCAACUUGGGUAUAAGCCUGGGAAACUGGGUCUAAUUCCCGAUAGGACUGCAGGGUGGUGCCUGUGGUGGAAAACGAUUUUCUAGUGGUUGGGGAUGAGCUCGCGGCCUAUCAGCUUGUUGGUGGGGUAAUGGCCUACCAAGGCGGCGACGGGUAGCCGGCCUGGGAGGGUGGACGGCCACAUUGGGACUGAGAUACGGCCCAGACUGCUACGGGAGGCAGCAGUGGGGAAUAUUGGACAAUGGGCCGAAGCCUGAUGCAGCGAGGCAGCGUGGGGGAUGACGGCCUUGGGGUUGUAAACUCCUUGCGAAGGAGAGGAAGCCACCUGGUUGGAAGGGUGGUGACGGUAGUGGUAGAAGAAGCACCGGCUAACUACGUG